CGGCAACAGCUCAAAUUUGAAAUCUGGCUCUUUCAGAGUCCGAGUUGUAAUUUGCAGAGGGCGCUUUGGCUUUGGCAGCGGUCCAAGUUCCUUGGAACAGGACGUCACAGAGGGUGAGAAUCCCGUACGUGGUCGCUAGCUAUUGCCGUGUAAAGCCCCUUCGACGAGUCGAGUUGUUUGGGAAUGCAGCUCUAAAUGGGAGGUAAAUUUCUUCUAAAGCUAAAUAUUGGCCAGAGACCGAUAGCGCACAAGUAGAGUGAUCGAAAGAUGAAAAGCACUUUGGAAAGAGAGUCAAACAGCACGUGAAAUUGUUGAAAGGGAAGCGCUUGCAGCCAGACUUGCUUGCAGUUGCUCAUCCGGGCUUUUGCCCGGUGCACUCUUCUGUAGGCAGGCCAGCAUCAGUUUGGGCGGUGGGAUAAAGGUCUCUGUCACGUACCUCUCUUCGGGGAGGCCUUAUAGGGGAGACGACAUACCACCAGCCUAGACUGAGGUCCGCGCAUCUGCUAGGAUGCUGGCGUAAUGGCUGUAAGCGGCCCGUCUUGAAACACGGACCAAGGAGUCUAACAUCUAUGCGAGUGUUUGGGUGUCAAGCCCGAGCGCGUAAUGAAAGUGAACGGAGGUGGGAACCCGCAAGGGUGCACCAUCGACCGAUCCUGAAGUUUACGGAAGGAUUUGAGUAAGAGCAUGGCUGUUGGGACCCGAAAGAUGGUGAACUAUGCUUGAAUAGGGUGAAGCCAGAGGAAACUCUGGUGGAGGCUCGCAGCGGUUCUGACGUGCAAAUCGAUCGUCAAAUUUGGGCAUAGGGGCGAAAGACUAAUCGAACUAUCUAGUAGCUGGUUCCUGCCGAAGUUUC
rnacentral:rRNA from 1 species